GGCGAAGCCUGACCCAGCGACGCCGCGUGGGUGAUGAAGGCCUUCGGGUCGUAAAACCCUGUGAGAUGGGAAGAAGCCGUUGUGUGCCAAUACCACAUCGCGGUGACAGUACCAUCAGAGGAAGCCCCGGCUAACUACGUGCCAGCAGCCGCGGUAAAACGUAGGGGGCAAGCGUUGUUCGGAAUUACUGGGCGUAAAGCGCGUGUAGGCGGCUUGGCAAGUCGGAAGUGAAAGCCCCAGGCUCAACUUGGGAACUGCUUUCGAAACUGCCAGGCUUGAGUGCGGGAGGGGAGAGCGGAAUUCCAGGUGUAGCGGUGAAAUGCGUAGAUAUCUGGAGGAACACCGGUGGCGAAGGCGGCUCUCUGGACCGUAACUGACGCUGAGACGCGAAAGCGUGGGUAGCAAACAGGAUUAGAUACCCUGGUAGUCCACGCCCUAAACGAUGGAUACUUGGCGUGGGAAGUUAAAAUCUUUCCGUGCCGGAGCUAACGCAUUAAGUAUCCCGCCUGGGGAGUACGGUCGCAAGGCUGAAACUCA
rnacentral:rRNA from 1 species